AAGUCGUAACAAGGUUUCCGUAGGUGAACCUGCGGAAGGAUCAUUAUUGAAUAUUCUUGAUGGGUUGUAGCUGGCUCUCCGGGGCAUGUGCACACUUGUCUUGACUUUAUUCGUCCACCUGUGCACCUUUUGUAGUCUUGGGGGUUGAGAACAAGUCGACUAUCGGAUGGCUAAGGCCUUUCCGGACGUGAGGAUUGCUGAGUGCGAAAGCAUACAGCUCUUCUUAAAUGACUUGUAAUACCUCUCCCUCGAGUACUAUGUAUUCAUAUACCACAUAGUAUGUUGUAGAAUGUGAUCAAUGGGCCUAUGUGCCUAUAAUAAUGAUAUACAACUUUCAGCAACGGAUCUCUUGGCUCUC
rnacentral:misc_RNA from 1 species